ACAACUUGAUCACGAGCCGUUGCGAAUUUAACCCUAGUGCAAUUCUUGUGGUUCAAGAAGAAGGUUCUCUUGUGUACGUCGAACCUGAACGCGUGAAACUAGAAUUUUGUGAUAUUUCUUAGUUAAUUCUGCGGCUUUAGAAAUUUCAGAAUGAAGCUGUUACAUUUGAUCUUCGUCGCUUUUCUCGCCGUGAUGCUCUUGGGCUCCAGGUCCGUGGACGCCGGCUCCGACAAGAAAGGAAUUUGCCCUGCCGUCAUAGUUGGCACCGUUGCUUCCUGCCAGGAGAGUUGUAAGAAGGACAAACACUGCCCUGGAAAAUUCAAGUGCUGCAGUAACGGAUGCGGAAAAGUCUGCAGGCCCGCGUACUAGUCCCCUUUUCAAACAUUUCUGCCCAGAGGCGGAUCCAGCAGUUUGGCAACACCUGAUUCCCUCCAUUUAAACCCAUGUAAAUAAUCGAUUUUUGUCGGAGCACCUGGCCUCUCCAAGAAUCGAUACAUAUUCAUAGGUUUAAAUGGCGAAAAUCAAUGUUGCCAAUUCGCUGAAUCCGCUGAUGUCUCCGCCAUUCAUCAUUGGGCUGAGAGCACAAUAAACUCAGCAGGCACUUUAAACGUGACGUUUUAAAAUAAAUAUCUCUGUAUAUAGUUUCAGCAGGAAUGCGUUGUUUCAAAACCUUUCACGACGAUGUUUGAUUUUCCGAGUACCUUACUGGAAACAAGACGAUAUCAAUGACUUGGAGGGCAGCCAUCCAUCAGAUGCUAAAAUGUUCAGACUCACUGUGUGAGUCUCGAAAGAAUCGACUUCGUACCUGAAUCCUCUUUUUAUAUUCUAUGAAUCCUCUUCCCUCUCUUUUCUGUAAUUUAUAAAACUAUUUAUUUAUUUAUUAUCUUUGCUUAUUGUUAGGCAUCGUUGCCUGUAAUCUUGCCAAAUAAAAUAUUCUUCAUUUCAA